CAGCACAGCAUUAUGCAGAGUACAGUAUCUUUAUUUCAAGCCCUGAAUGUCCUGAAGCAAGCGUAAAAGCAAUGGUAUAUAGCCAUUGUGUUAGCUGGGUACCUAGGCUAACUUUGUUGGACUUAGAAACAAACUCUCAGAAUGGAACUCAGUCAUAUAUAGAGGACUUACUGUACUGACAUGAAGACAAUCACUGCUCUGCUUCUGUCUUCCAGGGGGCUUUCUGAAUCACAUUAUCUCUCUUUGUAGUCAAUUGGAACUCGCUGAAAUCUAUGCAGAAAGUAGAAUUGUUGUGCAAAUCUUAUGUUGCAAAAAAAUAGAAACUGACGUCUUAAGGGAAAAAAAGACUGUUCAAGAUUGAAAACUAGCAACAUCAUAGAAAAUCAAUUGAUUGCUGAAGAGUGAGACUUGGAAAAUGGAUGUUUAGAGAGGUGUUACUGCUCUGAAAUCCUGAAAACACAAUGGCAGAGUGUCUAAAGGGAUGAUGAGGUGAAGAGGAGUAUAGUAAAUGUUGUCAGUGCUUAUCCAAGAACCCUUUCUACAGUUCUGUGUUUUCCUCACAUCAGGCAGAAAGCCAGAAGUACCUGGGGAUUCACGCAUAAACUAAGAAACAGCAAGGGCAGGCGAACAUCUCCAAGCUGCAGGCCCCUGUCGGGUGAGGCAGUUCCAGCGCUGCAGGGACACCCGUGGGGCCAGGCCAGAGAUGCUCUCUGUUGGGCUUCCCUGCACUUUCCCCACGCUGAUGAAUGAGUUUCCCAUUGCCCUUCACAGAUGACCAGAGACUCAGAGGCUUAAAGCUACACAGGCUACACAUGAUGGGCUCAACACUCCGGGCUAAUGGGGUGUUAACAGUGCUGCCAUCUGCCAGGAGGCCCCGUCCUGCUUCUCGACUUCUGAGCCCUCCCUCCGUCUUCGUCUUCAAGGCCAUCUCCCAGAGUAGUCAGCUCCCUCUCAGUCUCCGACUGCUGUCUCCAUCUUUCAUUCGCAAAGGCCCUUGUGAUGGCAUUGGGCUCUCUUGGAUAAUCCAGUGACCGCUGUCACAUGGUGACUGGACUUCGCAAAAUCUCCAAGGCUUCCUCAUGUGUCUGGAGUUUUAUCCUGGCUGUCAGCGAGGACCUCAGCUGGGUUAGCUGGAACCCGUACACAUGGCCCGUCUUUAUCAUCAGCGUUUCUUCGGCAUCUGGCAGGUGGGUUCCAAGAAUGAAUAUCCCAAGAGAAUCGUGAGAAAACUGUGUUGUCUUUUAUGAUCUACCCUUGAAGGUCACGCUACACUACUUCUGCUGUUUUCACAAGCAUGUGAGAUUCAAGGGAAG
ensembl:lncRNA